rnacentral:rRNA from 1 species
UACGUAGGUGGCAAGCGUUACUCGGAAUUACUAGGCGUAAAGCGCAGGUAGGUGGUCGGAUAAGUCCAUGAUGAAAGCUCCUGGCUUAACUGGGAGAGGUUCGUAGAUACUGUCUGACUCGAGUGUGGGAGAGGUGACUGGAAUUCCUGGUGUAGCGGUGAAAUGCGUAGAUAUCAGGAGGAACACCAAAGGCGAAAGCAGGUCACUGGCCCAAUACUGACACUGAGCUGCGAAAGCUAGGGGAGCAAACAGG